rnacentral:rRNA from 1 species
AUUGAACGCUGGCGGCAUGCUUUACACAUGCAAGUCGAACGGUAACAGGCCGCAAGGUGCUGACGAGUGGCGAACGGGUGAGUAAUGCAUCGGAACGUGCCCAGUCGUGGGGGAUAACUACUCGAAAGAGUAGCUAAUACCGCAUACGAUCUAUGGAUGAAAGCGGGGGACCGUAAGGCCUCGCGCGAUUGGAGCGGCCGAUGUCAGAUUAGGUAGUUGGUGGGGUAAAGGCUCACCAAGCCAACGACCUGUAGCUGGUCUGAGAGGACAACCAGCCACACUGGGACUGAGACACGGCCCAGACUCCUACGGGAGGCAGCAGUGGGGAAUUUUGGACAAUGGGCGCAAGCCUGAUCCAGCAAUGCCGCGUGCAGGAAGAAGGCCUUCGGGUUGUAAACUGCUUUUGUACGGAACGAAACGGCUCUGGUUAAUACCCGGGGCUAAUGACGGUACCGUAAGAAUAAGCACCGGCUAACUACGUG